rnacentral:rRNA from 1 species
UUGUAAACUUCUGUCAUUAGGGAACAAAUCUUCCAGUUAACUACUGGAAGUCUGAUAGUACCUGAAGAGGAAGAGACGGCUAACUCUGUGC